UACAGAGGGGGCGAGCGUUGUUCGGAAUUACUGGGCGUAAAGGGCGCGUAGGCGGCCCGCUAAGUCGAACGUGAAAUCCCCAGGCUCAACCUGGGAACUGCGUCCGAUACUGGCAGGCUUGAAUCCGGGAGAGGGAUGCAGAAUUCCAGGUGUAGCGGUGAAAUGCGUAGAUAUCUGGAGGAAUACCGGUGGCGAAGGCGGCAUCCUGGACCGGCAUUGACGCUGAUGAGCGAAAGCUAGGGGAGCAAACGGG
rnacentral:rRNA from 1 species